GUCUAUGGCCAUACCACCCUGAAUGAGCCCAAUCUCGUUUGAUCUUGGAAGCUAAGCAGGUCAGGCCUGCUUAGUACUUGGAUGAGAGAAUUGUGUUGGGUAAUGGAAU
rnacentral:rRNA from 1 species